AUCAGAAAUGCCGCGUGGUUAAGGAGACAGACUUGAAAUCUGUUUUCGCCCUCGUAGGUUCGAAUCCUGCUGCUGACG
rnacentral:tRNA from 1 species